rnacentral:rRNA from 1 species
UACGAAGGGGGCUAGCGUUGCUCGGAAUCACUGGGCGUGAAGGGUGCGUAGGCGGGUCUUUUAAGUCAGGGGUGAAAUCCUGGAGCUCAACUCCAGAACUGCCUUUGAUACUGAAGAUCUUGAGUUCGGGAGAGGUGAGUGGAACUGCGAGUGUAGAGGUGAAAUUCGUAGAUAUUCGCAAGAACACCAGUGGCGAAGGCGGCUCACUGGCCCGAUACUGACGCUGAGGCACGAAAGCGUGGGGAGCAAACAGG